ensembl:lncRNA
UAAUCGCACGCUCCCUAGUUGCACCCAAGAAACAGUUGUCAGUUCCCAGACUUGAACUCUGUGCCGCACUCUGUGGAGCUCAGUUAGCAGAGAUGCUAAGGAAAGAACUUACACUUGAAUAUCACAGGAUUACCUUGUGGUCCGAUUCCACCACAGUACUUAAUUGGUUGCAGUCAGAGUCCUGCCGGUUCAAAGUCUUUGUUGGCACCAGGGUUGCAGAGAUACAAGAAACCACAAAUCCACAGGAUUGGAGGUACGUGGACUCUGCUCUGAAUCCUGCGGAUGAUCUAACAAAGGGAAAAUCGCUUGCGGACCUAGCCACUCCAAACAGAUGGAGCAAUGGACCCCCGUUCCUUUUAAUGCACUCUGAUCACUGGCCAAAGAGCCCUGCUGCCAGCUGUCUGAAAGAUGACUCAGAGUUACGCAAGUCAACAUUUUGCGCCCUAAAUGUAGUGACCUCCAAAGCAGAAAUUCCUGAUGCCAGCCAGUCUACAACUUACAGAGAAUUACUGGAAGCUACUGCACGAUGUGUCCAUGGGGUGGCAAAUGGAGAACCACUAACAGCUGGAGACUUCCUACAAGCAGAAAUCCUUCAGUGGAGAGCAUCUCAGCUGGAUAGUUUCUUUGAUGACUUCCAAUGCCUGAAACAAGGUAAACCUCUCCCUUCUAACAGUAAACUACUCACCUUGAGUCCAGAGCUGGAUAAAGAGAUGGAUGUUAUUCGAGUGGGGGGAAGACUUCGACGAGCCGAAGCACUCGACAUAGCAACUAAGCACCCAAUUGUCCUUGACCCUAGUCAUGCCCUUACCAAGCUCAUCAUUCAAGAUUAUGAUAACCAGUUGAAACAUCCUGGCCCAGAGAGAGUCCUGGCUGAAGUCAGAAGGAAGUUUUGGAUUCUGCGUGGCAGAGAGGCCAUCCGCAAUCACCAGUUUCGAUGCACUGACUGUCGGAGAUGGAGAGCCAGCCCAGAAAUCCCACAAAUGUCAGACUUACCUGUAGCUCGACUUCAAUUAUUUAAGCCUGCAUUUUAUUCCACAGGGAUGGAUUGCUUUGGGCCCUUCUCAGUAAAGAUUGGACGGAGAGUGGAGAAAAGAUGGGGAAUAAUUUGGAAGUGUUUGACAACCAGAUGCAUCUACUUAGACAUACUAGCAAGUAUUGACUCUGAUUCCUUCCUUAUGGCAUUUAGGAGGUUUGCGGCACGUAGAGGAACACCCUUCGAACUUUGGUCNAUUUAGAUAUAUUUAUGUGAAGAUGUAAGUAUAUGUAAGUAACUGUACUUAUUAAAAUAUAUCAAAGAAAAAGUGUGCAUACUAAAUUUGAUUAUAUUUCA